GCUGCAGUAGACGUGGAAUACAAAGGAAGAAAGUAAAAUAUGCAUUUGAUGUACAUGUGCAGAUGCCAAACACAUUAUCCACGCAAGGAGGACUCUGCCUUCUCCCAGGAACUGAGCACAGCACCUGAAAACCAACCCCUGCACCACCACCUCAGGAAGCUCUGAGCAGCUGAUGGAGGACAGCCAGUACAACACAGACCUGCUGGUGGCACAAAACUGAACAUCUUUUUAAGGGAAUUAACAGGGGCAGCAACUGGAGUGGGGCUCAGAAGUGAUGACAAUAGAAAAUUCUUCAGGGAAGAUAGUCUGACUCUGCAAAAAGUUACUGACAUAUGUAGGACAGGAGAAACAGCCCGAGAGCAAACACAAAUCCUGUCUGAAGAUCAUGUGGUGAAAUGUAUCAGAAGGAAUUACAGGAGAUGAAAAUGCAAAGGUAAAAUGUAAGGCAGAACCGUGUGUGCAGAGAAACCAACAGUGUCAGAAUUACAGGAGACCCUGGAAGGGUCAAACCCUGAUAUUCAGUCUGAAAUACUUUUGAAUUUAUAUGUGAGUCAAAUUUGAGUGAACGGACCAAAACCCACUGUGGAAGAUUUGAUUUUGAGAGAUUCACCAGCAGAAGGACUUUAUUCCUUGUUCCUGACAGGGAUGUGAGUGAAAGCUCCCAGCAGCAACCACUCCCUGCAAGUCCCUGUGAUCUGGGGCUGAAACACUGUCAGAAACCUUCCCAAACCUUCCAUUUCCCUGAGCAGGCCAAGCUGCCAAACUGUGCACCUGAAUCAGAUAUCACAGCAAUCCUACCACAAACUGCAGGCUUGUAAAUCAGUUAAAGCAGCUGGUAACCACUGCACUACCCUCACCAUCCUCCUCUGCUGAGGAGAUCUGGUGUUAAAUCAAACAAACCUCUGGUGUCCACCAAGGAGCUGCUCACUGGAAGCCACCCACCAGCAGAGCUGUAGCUCCCCCUGUCCUGCUUGGGGUCCUGCUAAGCUUCUGAAGGUUAUUUCCCUGAGUUGGAGUGCUUUUAUAUAAACUGUCUUUAAAGAGACUGGUCCAGGCUCUGAGAGCAGAACAGUAAUUAGAAGGAAAAUGAAUUGCAUCCUUGAGGUGUGACCCUGUUGAGCACCAUUUGGUCAGCAGCAGUUUUGGAUGCCAACAGCAUGAACAAGAAGUCAGCCCCACUGGCUGAAGAAUUAUUCCUGCAAGCUUGAAGUCUAGUUUUACCCAGGCAGUGCUAAGCAAUAAAAAGCUCCUGCUAUCAGUAUGCUGAUCACUCAUUUUAUAGAGGACACUAUCCAGCACUUCUCUGUAGAGCAAAUACAAGAAGCAUUUCCUAAUUCUGCCAACUAGUCACUGGCUGAUGGGAAUUUCUGCCAAGAAUUUGUAAAUGAUGUAAAGCAAGCUGAAGAAAAAAAACUUGCCCAAUAACACAAAAUAUGGCAUGAUAUGCACACAUCCUCUGCUUGGACAAAUAGGAAGGCACAGAAGGAAAAGCAAGUAAGUGAAAACCUUGCAAUGAACACAAAUGUGGCAAAGAGAAGCUUGCUGAGCUGAGCAACAUUAUCUCUCCAUGACAUCAGGCAAGAGCUGGAAGGUUCACCAUGUUUUUUGGUUGCAGGUGUUCAUCACCUGGCUGCAGGUGAUGGCAAACCAAAUGUGGUUUGGGGGCCUGUGGAGCUCAGGGCCUGUCCCCACCGUGCAGGGGAUCCACUUUAUCCAACAUGACCCAGGCAGGAGGAAUGGGAAAAAAAAACAAAGCCCAUCCCCAGAAGAAUGGGAAAAGAAAACAGGAGCUUCCCAGAGGUGUUUCCAACUCUGCUCUGCCAAAGGCAAACCAGUGUUCCAAACAUGGCAUGUACACCCAGUAACUGCUGUGGUCACCAAAGGGUGAGCAGCAUCUUUAUGCAUGGGCUGUCAUAUCAUCUUAUUCCAAUGCAUCCUACUCCAGGCAUCUUGUUUCUUAAAUAGUCCCUCUGGCCCCUCUGGAAGCCAUCCUGAGAUUGACUUUUCAAUAUUUUUUAACAGUAUUAGAAGGGACUUUUUGCCUCUGUGCACACAAAUGAUUGGAACUACCCUGUUUACCACUGUGACAGAUGUGUGCUAAUUAGAUAUUCUUUUAAAUGUCCAACCAAGUCCCAACUCCUUGGAAAAUCAGAGCCUUCACUGUGCUCCUUGAAAUGGCUCCUUCCUCUAAGAGAAGACUUCCCAAGCACACUGCAUCCCACCCCGAGGAAAUGGGGCUGCCAAAGGUGCAAACAAAUGAAUGCUGCUCAAGAAAGCCACGAUAAAACAAGCUUUGGAGGUGUAAUGAUUUCCAAGUAUGAAGUGAGACUGCAGGUUGUACUUUUUUACAACUAAGUAAAUGAAACAGGGCAGGGGAAACACGUCGGUGUCCUCCACACAAAUGAUCUUUGUGUUGUGUUACUGAAACCAAGAGAGCUGAAAAGGCAGUGGCUGCUCUUGCAGCAAGAUGCCUUGGAUGCUGCCUGGCUCCUUGGGAGCUCCAGGAUGAAGCACGGAGCAGCUACAGCAUCACUGGUGGGGAGUGAGUCCCUGCUCACCUGGGGGGAGCUCCAGCCUGGGUUCCCACAAGUGCUCCAGCAGCAGAAGCCAAGAACCAUGAGAAGGAUUAAAGACCUUCCAGGAGAAAUUCUGUGCUGGUCUAUCUCUCUGUACACCUGGCACUUGAUGGGCUUCACAAGAAAGCAAUGGAGGGAUCCUCACGGGGGGCUCCAGACCCUCUGAGAGCUCAAGGUCCCACCACAAGGAUAUGGAAGGAACUCUCAUCCCCUGGGUAGCCCUGGGAACUGAUCAGGAUCAACAAAUAUUAAGAGUAAAGCUGCACAAGUUGGGGAUAUGGACCACGUUCCUGAAUUAUUUGGGGUCAAAGCUCUCAAAGUGACCACAGCCCUGGCUUUCCAACAGUGGGAAAUUUCUCUCAGAAGUUUCUAACAGAAAUGGAUCUUCUGAAGGGAAGAGGAAGAAGAGUGAGAAGCUGAGAAUCCUUUGCCUUUCAUGUAGGAGAGACAGCACAGAGAAGACCCUGAAGGUGUUUGUAGGAAGAGGAGACCAAAGAGAACUGAUGCAGCAACAAACAAAAUCACAGGUAUAAUCAUCUGUUCAGCACUUAUAACAUGUGACAGUAUAGUGUCAAAAUUAGAAGCAGAUGAACUCCACUUGCCCAUGUUUGCCAUCAACCACAUCCCUGAAUAUAUUUUUUAAAUGUCACUGUUGUAAGAACAGAGCUGAAGUGAAGGUGGACAAGAGCUGGGAGAGUCAGGCAUCUCCAGUAUCUUUUAUUUGUUUCUGUUAAAGCAGAUUAAAGGGGGUAAACCCUCAAUUAUGAAUUCACCUGAUCAGUUUGAAUGGGAAGAGUAAACAGCAAAGACACCUUAAUCUGGAUAUUUGCUCACCAGUCACCUUCAGCAUCCCUCCCCUCUACUCGCUUCUGUCCACUGCGAAUACUCCACGUCAUGUUUUAUGUGAACUCUUCCCCCAUGUGCAAUUUUGACUUGAGAUAAUGCAAAUUCUUCUAAUUUCAUUUGGAACUAGUUCUUUCCUCAGCUUGGAAACCUAAAGCGUGGGUCCUUGUAACAUUAUCUUCAUGGUUGACAGCCCUUUUCUGCUCUCACCGCCCACUUGCUUCCUUUCAGUCACACAGAUCAUCAGUCUUCUAGUUUUUGGUGA